GGCAAGAGCUUUUAAUUUUGUUAAAAUGACUUAGGAAGUCAUGAGAGAGAAAAAUUAGUGGUUAAUUAGUAUUUUCCAUAAUACUAAUUAAUUAGCGUUUUAAUUCUCUAAUUUAACUUGACAAGUAAUCAAAUCAAAAUUAGAAAACGCAUCUAAUUAGAGAAUUAGAUAUGAAUAAUUGUAAAGGAGGUAAUCAUUAGUGGUCAACCACUAAUUGACCUUAGAGGGAAUUAAAUAUAUCUAAUAGUCAGAGAAUGAAAGAUUAAGUUUUGUUAAUCUCUUCUUCUUCUCAACUUUUUCUCUCAAGCCAAUUAUCUCAUCUCUUCUUUCUUGUGAUUAAUUCAAGAGAAAUUAAAAUUUGUCACUCUUAAAUUAAAUGUAGAGAAAUUGUUUCUCUGUACUUCCAU
rnacentral:misc_RNA from 1 species